UUACAAGUAGUAUGAGAGAUGAGAUGAUGGGCUAGUAAAUAAGGCACCUCCCACUGCAUUCUGGAAUUUGAUGAGAUGGCACUUCUCCUUCAUUCUCCCGUUCUGGACCACGUCAUUUACAUUUAUGUCCACAUCAUCCAACAAUUCCUGCAUCAAGAACUAAAAUAAGUAUAACAUUAGCUUUAGGUAGACAAAGUUAAUCAAAUUAUUUAUGAGUAAGGAAAAAGUAAAUACAUACAACUUUUCAUCUGAAACUAAUUCUUCUCCUUUUGCUCCAUACUUUUAUGUGGAUCUUCUCCCUCAAUGGCGCCUCUUCUACAACAAGCUAUAAUUCUUCAUUCCCCGGGUUUUCUUCAUCAUCAUUUAUAUUUAAAGUCAUCAACUAAAUCUACUUAAUUACUUGCUUUUCUUCUUCUCUCCCGUAAAUAAUAAGGGUUGCUGUGACGUUUUCCUUCAACAUUCUCAGCUCAUUUUGGAGUGUAAUCGUGAGUAGAGCAGCUCCACACAUUUUCCUCAUCCGAUCCCUUGGUUGCAGAUCUAUUAAUGUCCAAUGCUCCACUAGAAACCUCUCAUUAUCUUUCUUGACAGGAUUAAAUUUCAUUUCUACAACAAUCUGUCCUAUAUAUUUCUUGUUUUGCGGGUCAUUUCGAUUAAUCUUCUUCAUCAAAUCAAGCCUUUUCCUUAAUUUCAUCCGAAGUUACCUCACUCAGAGCAACCACUUGCAUCCCCAACUUGUCCUGUGUCCCAACUUGUCUAAUAUAUAUGCUAUUUUUUUAAUUCUGUUACGAUUCUUUAUAUAUUUAUGAAAAUUCUAAAUAAGAGAGAUUAUAUCUUUUCCGGGUCAAACAUGCAAUUGGAGGACUUGAGACUAGAAAAAUUCUCGUUGUACUCAGAGUUUAAGAUUUCUCAUUUAAUUGGAAAUUCUCUUUGCUGGAAGUCCCUCUCCAUUUCGGCUGAUUGUAGGUAGGGUUUAGAUAACCCAAACAAGUCCAUUUUUCGGGUUUGAGUGCCCUUAUCACUUCCACACGCAGUAUAUCCACAGGCUUCUUCGUAACCCCUCCAUGCCAUAAGAAACAAAAACGAUAGGGAGAGAAAGUCCCCUUAUAAAUUAUCAUUCACAGUUCCAUCCUUACAUACGAUUCCAAUGUUGUUCAUGAAAAACUUACACUUAACCAUCAAGAAUUGGAAAAUUCAAGAGUUUGGAAACAGAUAUAGAGGCUAGCAAUUUGUUUUCUCAAAGUUUCUUGUUAGUAACAUAUACAAAAACUUAUUGUUUUGCCAAUUUUGCAGAUAAGGCUUCGCAGUUAAGUACAUAUCUAUAAUGUCUCAAGUCAACCAAAAGAAAUUGACUAUCCAGUAUGUAGAAAGAAGAAUGGACAAGAAAAAACAUGGUGUCAUGGUGUAAAAAAUUAAAAAUGCAAAAUGGGCGGGCAAUAUGUCAUAUUUAAGGUUUUUUUUCAGACAGAAAUCAGACCAGAAAGAGUGAAAAUCAACUAGGAAAUAAAAAAAUAAAUAGAUAGAUCAGACAAGUAGGUAAAACCAUGUGUAAUACUAGUGAAGAUUCAAACAGAAAUUAGAGGUUUACAUAUUUCUUGUGUUUUAUCAUGUUAUCUAUCACUUUUCAAAAGGCCAAUUCAGACAGAUUGCUAUCAUUUCUCUUUUCGAUAAUAGACCUGAUUUAAUGAAUCAAUUUGAAGUUAAUGAUAAACUAGAAAAUUGGAGAAAAAUGUAAUUAAAUUGCUGCACAUUGAAGAUCAAUUAGCAAAAGCCAUCAGCUAUGCAUUUGAAGGAAUUUGGUAUUUUAUGGAUUUGGGAAGCUGUGCGGUGUGCGGUGUGCGGUUGUGCCUGUGAGCAGGUGGCGGCUGAGCCAGAAUCGAGGAAAUCAGGACAGGUGAAGGCAAGUUGGUGUUGGUCGACUUGGACCAAAUUAAAAAAACAAUAACUAGUUUUCCAAUUAAGUCCUAUAAAAAUAAAAUUUGAAAAAUGAUCUGGCUUGGCAUGGUCCUCUCAAGCCCCUUCUUUUCUUCAGCUCCAGCCAGCUAGAGCAAAAUUACGUAGCUUUUCAUCGUUGCCAAACCUACCGUUCAGCGGUUAUGAACUACCAUUCUUCCAAUUGAAAAUUGGAGUGGUUUCGACAAUCGAUACCCAUUGCACUUCCGAGUCAUGGACAGAUCUUGCUCCCCCACCACUCAGAAGCUUGAACAGAAAGUCGCGAAUCCACCCACUAAACACGCCCGGUUCACUGCCCUUGACUCGGACCUCACUCUGACUUACUCAACGGCAUCACUACAAUACUCAAGGACAAGCUCAAACUGCCUGACCGGCUCGGCAGUUUAAUCGACGGCUUCGAGGACAAAGAACAUAAAAUCGGAGGUUCAAGUUCAAAACUUGCAUCUAGCGAGGAGCUCGAGAUCAUCCUGCCCAACGGGCUCGGGUCCAGUCGACAUAAGGAGCUCGAUGACGGUGAUGGGUUGUACUGUACCAAGGAAAAGAAGACAAAUGAAGAUGCGGUAUUUCGGGCAAGUGAGCGAUUCUAUAAAGACGGAGCGGGUUCAGUUUCGGCUAUGGCAUAUUACAAAUGCUAGGGGAAAAAGAAUGAUCAGGGUUUAGUGACCUUGGAGGAGAUUUUCUUUUAAUGAUUAGAAAAGAAAUGUCAUUAGACAUUGAAUGAAAGAAGUUAUACAAGAGCCAAAAAACCUCCUUAAAAAAGAAGAAAAAGAAAGAAAAAAAUAAUGAUAAAAAAUGAAAUCACUCAAAACCCACAGAAUCCUGGGUCUCAAUCAGGUUUCAUUCAGAACUUGAUGAAAAUAAUUAGUUCAAUUAUAAAGGAAUCAAACAACUUCUACCAUUUCUAAUAGGUCAUUCAUCGAACAGUUGGUGCAUUACUCCGAAAACGAACUCUGAACUACCAAAAAAAUAUCAUUCGUUGUUUGAAUUCAAUCACAGAAUCAUGUCGGAAAUUCAUUAUAAUUGCUAAUGGUCGAAAUAAGAAACAAGCCAACAACAGCUUACCUGUUGUUGCCCACUAAGAUUCGAAAAGCACCGUCACUUAUCUCCUUUCUUCAUCAAACAAGAGAGUCCCUCUCCUUUUCCAGCCUCCAUUCUCCUUCUUACUCCUUCCAGGACCUUCCCUUUUCUCUCAAUCUUCUGUUGACCCAGAAAUCAAAAUAUCGUACUUCCCAAUUGCUCCAACAGUCAAUCACCCUUCACGCGUGCCCUCUCGCCUCUUCGCGAUCUCGGCUUUCCCGCUGCUCAUCCGACAAAAAUCGUGGACUGCUUCGCUACUCCACCCUGUUUCUCUUGCAACGCCCCCUGUUUCUCCAAAGUCUCCCUUCAAUUCGUGAUGAAAAUCCGAUAGGCUGAUAACUUAA
rnacentral:lncRNA from 1 species